GUGCUCACUUCCGCAGCACAUAGACUAGAGUUGGAAUGAUACAGAGAGAUUAGCAUGGCCCCUACUCAAGAAGGACACUCAAACCUGUGGAGCGUUACGUAUUUUU